rnacentral:lncRNA from 13 species
CUGAGAACAGGUGAAGGCUGGGCCGGGAAACUGGGAGGGCACCAGGGGGCACAGCAGCCUCCUGACAGGGGGCAGGCUCCUCGCUGAGCCUCACUGGUGCCAGGCCCACGCUGGUGAGGGGUAGACACAGCGCCUGGGUAGCUCCCAGGAGACUGGGUCCUGCUCGACUGUUUCUGCCUGAUGUUGGCUGAUUGAUGGGGACCUUCUGGGCAGCAGCAGCUGAUGCCUGGGCCACUGUGAGUGGGGAUCAAGGCCCGUGUGGCCUGGGGCAGAGGCGGCCAGUCUGCAUUGGACCUGCAGGUCCCCGGGGCUGGGGCUACCUCAGAAGCCAUAGAAGAUGCGUCAGGGGCUCCUGCCUGCACUGCCAGCAAGGGCUGUGACUGCGAAUGAGGAAGAAUGGAAGGCACCCCAGCCCAGAGGGAAGCCACCUCGGGAGCCCCCAGAGCUGCCUGCACACACAGACUGGGUGUUGACCCCUGUUCGGCCCCAAGGCCCAGUUUCCUGACUAUCUGGAUAAGGCUCCAGACCUCAGAGGCCAAUGCAGACAGCAGGAUGCAGCCUGGGGACGUGGGGACACGUGGGCAUGAUGGUGACACAGGCAGAGGGCACCAGAGGGAGCGCUGGGACUGUGUGUUCCACACACCACAGAGAGGUGCACACAUACCAUACGCACACCAGGGACACACCCCACACACCCCACAGACACGCCACACACACACAUCACACACACAGCACACACACAUCACACACCACAGACACACCACACAGACAGAAGAGACACAUACCACAUGGACACACAAGCCACAGACACACUACCACUCACACACCACACAGACACACACCGCAGACACACACACCACACACUACACACACACACAACCACACAUACCCCACAUACCAGAGACACACACACCCUAUACCACAGACAUAUACAUUACAUGCACACCACAGGCAUACACCACACAUACACAGCACACACACAGCACACACACACCACAGAUACACACACAACACAGACUACACACACACACCCCACACAUACCACACACACUACACAUAUGCACCACAGACACACACAAACCACAGACAAAACACACAUACCACAUACAUACCACAGACACACCACUGAUACACCAAAGACACACACACACCACAGACACACACACCAGACAUACCACAGAUACACAUCUGCACACCACACACCCCACAGACACAAACCAGACACACAUCACAGACACACACCCACACACAUUACGCACACAUCACAGAUAUAUCACAGAUGAACACACAUACCACAGACAUAUACACACCCUCCCCAAGACACAUCUAACACCACUCACAAGAGACACACAUGCCCUACAAACACGUAAAUGCACACUCACCAAACAUGCAGACACACACAUCUCAGAUACACACACACUGGUUACCUGCUGGCACACACAGAUGUCCUCCCACACAUCCACAGAGGCAUGGGUGUCCCUGUGAGCUUACACUGGGCUAGUGUCAAAG